UACGUAGGGUGCAAGCGUUGUCCGGAAUUAUUGGGCGUAAAGAGCUCGUAGGCGGUUUGUCGCGUCUGCUGUGAAAACUCGGGGCUUAACCCUGGGCCUGCAGUGGGUACGGGCAGACUAGAGUGCGGUAGGGGAGACUGGAAUUCCUGGUGUAGCGGUGAAAUGCGCAGAUAUCAGGAGGAACACCGGUGGCGAAGGCGGGUCUCUGGGCCGUAACUGACGCUGAGGAGCGAAAGCGUGGGGAGCGAACAGG
rnacentral:rRNA from 1 species